rnacentral:rRNA from 1 species
AUGAUAGGAUUGCUUUGGAAUUGUAGGGGGGCAGGCAAGAAAGGCAUGUCUACCUGCCUCACUGAUAUCAUUUGUGCCAAUAAUGUGGAUUUUAUUGGUCUUCAAGAGACUAUGAAAAAAACUUAUAAUCCUUCCUAUUUUAGGAAAUUGGACCCUGAAGGUAAAUUCAAAUGGGAGUGGAUUCCUUCUAGGGGUAAAUCAGGAGGUAUUUUGGGUGGU